rnacentral:rRNA from 1 species
CCUACGGGAGGCAGCAGUGGGGAAUAUUGGACAAUGGGGGCAACCCUGAUCCAGCCAUGCCGCGUGCGUGAAGAAGGCCCUCGGGUUGUAAAGCACUUUCAGUGAGGAAGAACGCCUGGUGGUUAAUACCCAUCAGGAAAGACAUCACUCACAGAAGAAGCACCGGCUAACUCCGUGCCAGCAGCCGCGGUAAUACGGAGGGUGCGAGCGUUAAUCGGAAUUACUGGGCGUAAAGCGCGCGUAGGUGGCUUGAUAAGCCGGUUGUGAAAGCCCCGGGCUCAACCUGGGAACGGCAUCCGGAACUGUCAAGCUAGAGUGCAGGAGAGGAAGGUAGAAUUCCCGGUGUAGCGGUGAAAUGCGUAGAGAUCGGGAGGAAUACCAGUGGCGAAGGCGGCCUUCUGGACUGACACUGACACUGAGGUGCGAAAGCGUGGGUAGCAAACAGGAUUAGAUACCCUAGUAGUC